UCAGAGGCAGUUGGGGAUGGUCUAUCGGUAGCCAAAAACGCCCAUAACGUUCAGCAUCACGUCUAGUUUUAGGUAGGUCAGCGGCACGUCGUCGGUAAACAUACAGACUUCGAGUUCGAAAAAUAAUACACGAUAAAUUGAACAACGAUAAUCGAAUACAGCGACGAGCGAGUGGACGGAAUAAUGAACGAAUGAAGCAAGAACAAUGGCCAACCUGACAGUCCCAAAACACAGCGGCUAGAUACUGUGUCAGCCAGAGAGGGAGGGAGAGAGGGAAGAGAAGGGAAUAGGUUGAUGGAGAAAACAGCUGUCUAAGAAACGGCAUGCGCGCGGAUUAAAUAUAAAGAACAUAAAGCUUAUAUAGUCGAUUAAACGUUGUAUUGAGUGGUAAAUGGUAGCCAUGACAUCGCGAUGUCUAGCAGCAGGUCGCAUAAAUGUACGAGUAAAUAAAUAAAUAAGAGCGUGGCGAGCGUCAUCUGCAGUGUGUAGCAUUUACAUCUACUUGCACCACCUGAAGACAACGACCGACAGUGGCUGCUUGGAAAUAAAGAAACGGUGGAAAACCACGAGCUACCAGCGGAGAAAAGGACAGCAGACAAAUUCACAGAGACUGUCAACGUCCUUGUGAUAGCAGAAGUAACUGAACAGCGGUUUCUUGUCUUUGAGGGAGAGGAGGUUGAAGGGGGUAUCAGUGCUGCAGCGGCCGCCGUGAUGCUGUACACAUGUAGGCACGUUUGAAGCAGUUCAUCCCCGCCCUGUGUGGAUCCGCCGUAAAACCGAACCGAACUGACGGUAUAUUAACGGAAUUUGUAGGGGGACGUUGGAAGGCAGAACUAUUUAUUGAUAAUAUGACGAUAACCUUUGUUAAUAACUGAUGUAUUAGUAUAUGUGUGGAGAAGAUAAAUGACAAGAUUGUUUUUUAAAUCAUUAAUUUGUUCCCCAACAUGGAAUGAUUGGUCCAUGAUCAAUGGAUAGCAGCAUGUUUAUUCCAUCCGAGGUUUAAUACGCUACCGAUUUAUGCCUUCAGUCUAUAAAUAUUUAAAUAAAGACCAAAUUUAGGCCGAUGACUUUCUGAUGACGACAGUACGACAGAGAUGUCUUCAUUGUAGCAAUUCACGCUCACCCCAGUAUAUCUUCAUGAAGAUAUAGAUCAUUACAUUCACCCCUUGUGAUUUUCGUGGCUAAUCUCGUUGUUAUUGGGGGUGGGGGGGUUUAAUAACACAAGCAGGAGACGAUUCAAAUCGAACAAGAUUGCUUUCACUUUUAUGUCCUUUCUGCCUGUAUUUUGACCAUGUUAGAUAACUUCUGCCUCUAGUCCUUCCUUGCUCGUUCAUCUCACGUUUUUCCAAUUCAAGAAACAUCUUUUGAGUCAGUAACAAGGUAUUAAGACUGUAAGGUUAUAAGAGCCGAUCCUCGCCAUAGGCUUCCUUCCUCGAACAAGCCUCUGCCGAGCACCACCUUCGCAGCGAUGGAGACCCCUACGAAGCUACCUCCAUCAAGCCCAUCAUCGCCGACCACGGGCUUCUCUGUGCCUAGCGCGGAGAAGGUAGAUGGCUUCCCCCGCCGCUCGAUGCGCCGUGCCCGGCAGCGACGGUCCCAUAGCUCUUCACAGUUCCGCUAUCAGAGCUCCCAGGUGGAGCUGACGGCGCUGCCCUUACUUAAAGAUGCUCCUGUGGCAGAACUUCACGACUUAUUCUGUAAGAAGCUACAACAGUGUUGUGUUCUCUUUGACUUUCUGGACUGCGUCGCUGACCUGAAGGGGAAAGAGAUCAAACGUGCAGCGCUGAAUGAGCUUGUGGAGAGCGUAGCCACCAGCCGCGGGGUCCUCAUCGAACCCCUUUACCCAGAGGCCAUUAAGAUGAUCUCAGUGAACAUUUUUAGAACUCUCCCACCCAGUGAGAACCCUGAGUUUGACCCAGAGGAGGAUGAACCUGCUCUGGAAGCCUCCUGGCCACACUUACAAUUGGUGUAUGAGUUCUUUUUACGCUUUCUUGAGAGUCCAGAUUUUCAGCCUUCUCUUGCCAAGCGUUACGUGGACCAGAAAUUUGUUCUUCAGCUGCUGGAAUUAUUUGACAGCGAGGACCCCAGAGAAAGAGAGUAUCUGAAAACUAUUCUACACCGUGUCUAUGGCAAACUCCUGGGCUUGAGGGCCUACAUCCGCAAACAAAUCAACAAUAUCUUCCUCAGGUUCAUUUAUGAAACUGAGCGUUUCAAUGGAGUUGCCGAACUUCUGGAGAUUUUGGGAAGUAUCAUUAAUGGCUUUGCUCUGCCCCUCAAAUCAGAGCAUAAGCAGUUCCUGGUGAGGGUCCUGAUUCCCUUGCACACUGCCAAGUCUCUCUCCAUUUUCCAUGCACAGCUGGCUUACUGUGUGGUGCAAUUCAUGGAGAAGGAUGCCACAGUUACAGAACAUAUCAUCAGAGGGUUGCUGAGAUACUGGCCCAAAACAUGCACUCAGAAAGAGGUGAUGUUCCUGGGGGAGGUCGAGGAAAUUCUGGAUGUUAUUGAACCAUCUCAGUUUAUCCGUGUGCAGGAGCCUCUAUUCAAACAGAUUGCUGCCUGCAUUUCCAGCCCUCAUUUCCAGGUUGCAGAGCGGGCUCUGUAUUUCUGGAAUAAUGAGUACAUUCUGAGUCUUAUAGAGGAGAACUGCCAGGUCAUCCUGCCUCUGGUUUUUGGCACGCUGUACAGAGUUUCCAAAGAGCACUGGAAUCAGACGAUCAUCUCUCUUAUCUACAAUGUGCUAAAGACAUUUAUGGAGAUGAACAGCAAGCUCUUUGAUGAUCUCACUGCCUCCUACAAAGUGGAGAAACAGAAGGAACUAAAGAAAGAGAAGGAACGAGCUGAGCUGUGGAGGAAUUUGGAGGAGCUGCAAGAGAGGCGGCCACAGAGUCUGACCGAGGCCAGCAGAAACCAGAAGAACCUGCAGGAAAGAGAGAACACCAAGAACCAGUCAGAGACCAGUGCUGCCAACACCACCUAGAGACAACAUGCAAACACACACACACACACACACACACACACACACACACACACACACACACACACACACACACACACACACACACACACACACACAGUCAAUGCCUCAAUUCCACAUUCUGAAUCACUCACAUUGUGCAGACACUACUAUCACAAGCACCAGACAGAGAGCACAUGUACAACAGGCUGUCCAUAUGUACAUAUGUUACAAACACUGAAGCACACAUCACACACUGAGUGAGAUAUAAAAGCUAAAAAAAUGAGUACCUCUCACAUGCGUUCUACUCUUCCAUAUGCUACAUAUGCUUUAUACACACCUACCUUUCUACAUCUUUCCUUUCUAUCCCUUCACAUGCAAAACAUGCUUGAAUGGGGUCCAAACAUGGAAGACACACAUGUGCACACUCAAAAUCAAACACAUAUGCAUCAUUCAUUGCUGUCAUUCCAAAACUGGCUCUGUUUCUCUCAGGCCCGAUCCGAGGCCCCCGUCAACCGACUAACAGACUCUGCAUACUGUCAAACACUGGGGAGGAAUGAAGUUGAUAAUGAUGAUCCUAAAGAUGACAAUUAUACAAUUCUAAUGUUCCUACUUCUACAGCUUAUUCUAUAAAAGAGAGAAUCUUUAUUUUGUAAUCUUGUUUUUUGUAUGUUUGUUUUUUGUUGCUUCUAUUGAUUGAUGUAGAGGCUUGAUAAAGGAAAAGGAUCUACGUUUAUGGGCAUAUUGAGAAAGGAUAGGAAGAGAUUGUGCUGGUGUGUGUAUGUGUGCUUGUGUGUGUGUGGAUGUUGUAGAGAAGGGGUGUAUUACUGUCUCCAGUUUAGAAGAGAACAGGGAUUGAAUCAGAAUGUACUAUUCACUUUGAGUGUGCUUAUAUGCUCAAAUGAACUGCAAAUGGUGAUUAUUGAUUUUCAGUAUAGUCUUUCUCAUUGAGAGAAAAAAAAAAUGAAAAGAGCAAACAAUAUCACUCUUGUUCUUGUCUACAAGAAAGAAAUCAGAUUGACUCCCUUUGUUUUCCUCUGUUAUCGGAAUAAAACAUUUCAUAGUUACAGAACGGAAAAGAAAAAUGAUAUAGAAUAGAGAUGGCAAUAAAAAUGGACUGAAAUUGUACGCAUACGUAGCAUCACUUAAACUAGAGUUGCACUGUCCUUUUGAUCAAUGUCUUGUGUUUUAAC